AAUUUAGUCAAAUGCUGAAUUUUAAGAGGUACAAACCGUAUUGGGCUAUUUACAAUCAUUUUAUGCAUUAUCAAAUCAUAAAUCUUAUUUUGGUCAACAUCUUAAAGAUAAGAAUGACUGUGGUUUAUUAGCUUACAUCUAUCUUCCGGUUAGUCAAGAUUUGAAAAAGUCAAACAAAGUUAUAUGCAUAUUCAAAUUCAAGUCCUUAAUUAUAGCUUUUUAUCUCUUUUAUCUUGUUCUACUGUUGUUGAAUGAGCUCAAAGUUGAACGAUUAUUUCUCAUGCCAACAGAAUCAGUCAACAUAUCCACUUUAUAUAACAUAUUUCAUCCAAUUCAACCUGUUACCAGUUACCACCUACAGGCAAUUCCGACGUCAUGAUCGAGACCACCAUCAUCGGUUACCACCUACGGCCACCUGCAUCUUCGUUGACCCUUCCUUAAAUGAUAAACACAUUCUCUCCUGCCAUCCCUACAUAUCCAUCGUCAAUUAAAUCAACCAUCAUUUCCACCACACUCAUUCUUCUUCUCUUUUCCCUAACAGGUGAACUCCAUCACUACAAACACUCGUCUCCCUCACCACCAUCGAUUUGAUCGAUUCAAUAUCUUUCUAAUAUAUGAAGUCGGCACCGCCAUUACCACCGUCUGUUACAGUCGUCACCUUCUCUCACCGUCAAACCCUAAUCCCCAUUUUCAAGAGAACCUUUUUCUUUUUGUAAAUCUAGAGACACAAGGUUGAGGGAGAAGAAAGCAGGUCUGUCAUCACCACUAACUAUAUGAGUUUUUGGCUGAUUUCGUAUAUGUAUGGCUGGAUUAAAGAAACUUGAACAAGAAACUCCUAGAGCUCCUUUGUUCCCUGACCAUGACCACCAAACGCCCCUAUUCUGGUCAAAGAUUUAGCUGAGAAAAGGAUAUCAAUCAGUGGGUGAUGAGUUAGUUUAGAUCCAUCGAGAAGAUACAAAGACAUUUCCAUCUCAACAAGAUCUGUUGAAGUGCAACAUGGUAUAUAAAAUUCUGAUAAGUUGACUUGGAUAUCUAAUUGAUACUUAUUCUCCAGAAUGCAAGCAUCAAAAGGAAAGUUCCAUCAUCCAAAGAAAAUUUUGAUGAAGCAGAGUUAAGCUGAUACGAAUGAAAAAUUUGGGCUUGCUUCUCUUCGGGUGGAGGUUUCAAACUUUUGGCUAACAAAGAAAUGCUCUGAGAAUCAAGAAAUGCUCGGUUGGUGGUUGGUUGAAAUUUCAAUGGCAGAUGGCAUUUUUAGGGUGUUUAUGUUACCUCAUUUUCACCAUCUUCACCAAAAAUUUAAUAGAAUAAACCUUAUAUCUAUGCCACUACUCUCACCAUAUCUACAUUUUCUCUCAACACAGGUCAGUUUGUGAGUUUUUUUUACCUGAUUCUGAUGUUUUCUGUGAUCUCUUUUUGAAAAUUAAAAUGUUACGAGCAAUCCUUUAAAUUUUUUUUUGUUAAACAAUAUUGAUAUGGUUAAAUUUAUUUAUUUUGCUAGGUACUUCUCUUUACAGCUCGAAGUUGAGCUUCAAUAUAUUCAUUUUAACCUCCAUUUUCUCCUUUUCUUUUGUCUUUUACAUGUACAGAAUACACAACAUCCACUUGAUUUUUUUUAACAAAACUUCCUUUUGAUUUGUACGAGUACAAUGUACAAAGCAUCUACAUGAUAAUUACAUGGUUUUCAAGUGUUAAAAUAAAAAGUGUAUAUAGGUUAAAUGUUGUUUUAGUGUUUUAAACGACUACAUCCCAUUUGACUUGAAAAGUUACCUUAAAUCAAGGAUGUUUGGUGGUUUAGUGCCAAGUUGACACUUAAUGGCAUCACACAAUUAACAUUUGGAGGCUUUAUUAGGUGUACUAUAUGUUACAAACCAAAUGGCUUCUAAAAGUUAGGUUGUAAGGGAUCUCUCUUCAGUUUGUGCAAAACAGGUUAGAUUAUAAACCUUUAACAGUUCAAGUCAUUUGAGUUAAUGCUUGUGUCAACUUCCAAGGGUAUUUCAAAUUUUUAAUAUGGCAAAUAGUUUCGAAACUUGUCUUUGACUUAGAAAUUGUUCACAGGUAUAUGCAACACUUUUUGGGUUUCUAUCUCAUGUUCAAAAAGGAGGAAAAAAGUUGGUAUGCUUUGAUUGUAUCGAUUUUGGGUUCUAACCAUUUUGCCCUUGGUUCUGGUUUGUUGAGUUCCUGAACCUUUUUUCUGGGUGUUGCUGCUUUACUUUUAUUGGAUUUUUUGGUUUGAUGAGCCUCACAUAUUUCAGUGGGUAGAUAAUGGAUUACAAUAUAUUUGGCAUGUCUCUUGACCAUUUUGCCAUUGGGGUUUGUUUUUACAUGUUUUAAAAAAUUGUUGUUCUAAAAAAGCUUACUCAUUUUCGUUAUAUUUAAUAAAAUAUGUUUUAAGGAGAAGUUUGAAAAUAAAUAAAUAAUGUUGUUUAUGUUAAUAUAGGAAGGCUACAAAUCAAUGCAAAUUGUGCAUAUUCAUUACAUGCAAAAUUAUAUGAAGGGUUUACAGAUUAUAAAUUUCAUUGUUCUUAUUACUUUUUUGGGCGAUAAAGUAAGAGCAGGGGAU